AUGGAUUCCACUGAAAAAGCAUCACUGUGGUCAGAAAAGCCAAGCCCCGUUUCCUGUUGUUGUUACUGUAGCUAACAAGAUGGCUAACACAUUGGUAAAAACAUUCACAACAACACAACUGUGUAACCAAAGUGGAAUUUGAUUCAUAUUUUCAUAAGCAGCCUCCUUCUUGUCAUGACAUGAGACUUGUCACUUGUCCAAGCAAGUGCUGAAACUGGAAAUACCUACAGAAUGCGUCCAGGCAGGCCGGGACAAUCUGUCUCUGCAGUACGUACGAGGGGACCAGAGGAUGAAGCACUCGGUCAUCCGCCGAGGUUGACGACUGAAUCACUGUUUCCUUCUCUUUUUUUCCUUUCCUUUCCCACGUCAAUGAUUUACCUUAAUUGAAGAGCUCAGCUUCGUACACGGUGUUUGCGUUCUCUUUAUGUCUUGGCUAUAAGCAUUUCAUACAUUUUUGUCUUCGUAAGCCAACGUGCUUUUCUGUUAGUAUUUGGGCUGUUCCCUGACUAAGUAUUCUUUG
ensembl:lncRNA